rnacentral:misc_RNA from 1 species
UCAUUGGAGAUCCUAACUUGGA